UUCACUAAGUUGUUGAAAUGGCUUCAAACUUGAGAUCCUCCUGCCUCAAUCUCCUGUGGUGCUGGGUUUACAGGCAUGUGCCACUGUGCUCAGAUAUGGCUAGAUUUUGACCCAAAGUAAGUUCACAGAGCUGAUCCCAAGAUGGUGAAUAAAAGGAGCCUGACCCAUUUCAGUUGCCACAAAGUGAUCACUUUCCUCUGGUGCAUGCUCCCACCAUGAUGUGCUGCUGCCUCAUCCCAAGCCCUAAUGUGAUGGAGCCAAUCAUCCACGGUUGAUUGAAACCUCUGAAAAUCUAUGGAAUGAAGAAAACCCUAACCAGACGCUGUCCUUGCAUCUUGGACUGCCCAGCCUCCAGACUGUGAGCUAAGUGAAUUCCUUUCUUACCAUUCCUUCCCUUUCUUUCUUUCUCCCCUCUUUCUCUUCUCUUCCUCUUUGUUUUUUUACUUCUUUUUUUCUCUCUCUCCCCUUUCUUCUUUCUCUCUUUCUUUCUUUUACAAAUUGUCCAGUCUGUGGUGUUCUGUUACAGCAACACAAAAAAACUACCAUAAUAUUCAAGAGGUUUGUACUGGAUGUUCAGUGAUUCAGAUACAGAUAAUGUGGCGGGCAGGCUGGAUAAAACCUCUCCUGCCCCCAGUAAUAUCCCUGAAACUUGCGAAUGUUAUCUUCUAUGGCAAAAAAGAACUCUGCAGAUGGGAUUACAUUGUAGAUGUGGAGAUGGGAGAUUAUUUGAGUGCUUGCUUAUCUCCUCCAAGGACAGCCAUUUUUCUGAGAAGUAGUGUUUUAACUUUUGUAUCCCUAGUGUCUCAUGUAGUGCCUUUCAUACUAAAAGUUUCUUUAUAUGUUAUGAACUAUGGUUUUAGUUUAGUUUUUUUUUUUAUCUAAAAAAAAUUCUUAUUCCAGUGGGCCCUAAAUGCAAUCACAUUUAUCUUAUAAGAGGGAGGCAGAGGGACAUUUAACAGACAGAAGACAAUGGGACUAUGGAAACUGAUAGCAGUAGCAUUGUCACAAACCAAGGAUUGCCAGUGUCACAAGAAGCUGUAAAAAGAGUCAAAGACCAGAUUCUCCUUUGGAGCCUCAGGAGGAGUGUGGCCUCUGCUGAUAACUUUGAUUUCAGCCUAAUGAUACUGACUUCGGACUUCUGGCCUCCAGAACCUUGAGAGAGUAUAUUUCGGGCCAUUCAGUUUAUGGCAAUUUGUUAUAGCAGCCAUUGAGAACUAAUACAGAUCAUUGGUUGUGACUCUGUAAAGAAGAACAUUGAAAUGGAAUGGAAACAGAUUGUGCCUAAAUGCAGAAAUUUAAGAACUCCUCAGCAAAUAUUUAAAUUCUGUUGUUUAAUUCUCAAUUGCAAGGCCAACAGGUGUGUAGAAAGGAAAACUCUUUUUCACAAGGUGAGUUGAGAACUUUAGUGGGCUGUGACUGGCAUUUUUUUUUUUUUAAGCGAACUAAAUAGAAUAAAAAGCCUGACACACCAUGUUCUUGGCAUUGUCAGCUGCAUGCUUUCCACGCUGGCCUAUGUGCAGCAUUGCUCAUGGUCUUUCUUGCCAACUCAUUUCUUCUAUUGUCAUUUCCCCCCUGUCCCCCAAGUACUGAAGAUUGAACCCAGGAGUUCUCUACUGAGUGACAUCUCCUGACCUUUUUAAAACUUUAUUUUGAGACAGGCCUCACUAAAUUGUCCAGGCUGGCCUCUAACUUGCAAUCCUCUGGUCUCAGCUGCCUGAGUAGAUGGGAUUCUAGGCAUGCUUGAACACACUUACCUAUUCU